GAUGAACGCUAGCUACAGGCUUAACACAUGCAAGUCGAGGGGAAACGGCAUUGAGUGCUUGCACUCUUUGGACGUCGACCGGCGCACGGGUGAGUAACGCGUAUCCAACCUUCCCAUUACUGUGGGAUAACCUGCCGAAAGGCAGACUAAUACCGCAUAGUCUUCGAUGACGGCAUCAGAUUUGAAGUAAAGAUUUAUCGGUAAUGGAUGGGGAUGCGUCUGAUUAGCUUGUUGGCGGGGUAACGGCCCACCAAGGCUACGAUCAGUAGGGGUUCUGAGAGGAAGGUCCCCCACAUUGGAACUGAGACACGGUCCAAACUCCUACGGGAGGCAGCAGUGAGGAAUAUUGGUCAAUGGACGGAAGUCUGAACCAGCCAAGUAGCGUGCAGGAUGACGGCCCUAUGGGUUGUAAACUGCUUUUGUAUGGGGAUAAAGUUAGGGACGUGUCCCUAUUUGCAGGUACCAUACGAAUAAGGACCGGCUAAUUCCGUGCCAGCAGCCGCGGUAAUACGGAAGGUCCAGGCGUUAUCCGGAUUUAUUGGGUUUAAAGGGAGCGUAGGCUGGAGAUUAAGUGUGUUGUGAAAUGUAGACGCUCAACGUCUGACUUGCAGCGCAUACUGGUUUCCUUGAGUACGCACAACGUUGGCGGAAUUCGUCGUGUAGCGGUGAAAUGCUUAGAUAUGACGAAGAACUCCGAUUGCGAAGGCAGCUGACGGGAGCGCAACUGACGCUUAAGCUCGAAGGUGCGGGUAUCAAACAGG
rnacentral:rRNA from 1 species